GAUGAACGCUGGCGGCGUGCCUAAUACAUGCAAGUCGAGCGAACAGACGAGGAGCUUGCUCCUCUGACGUUAGCGGCGGACGGGUGAGUAACACGUGGAUAACCUACCUAUAAGACUGGGAUAACUUCGGGAAACCGGAGCUAAUACCGGAUAAUAUAUUGAACCGCAUGGUUCAAUAGUGAAAGACGGUUUUGCUGUCACUUAUAGAUGGAUCCGCGCCGCAUUAGCUAGUUGGUAAGGUAACGGCUUACCAAGGCAACGAUGCGUAGCCGACCUGAGAGGGUGGUCGGCCCCACUGGAACUGAGACACGGUCCAGACUCCUACGGGAGGCAGCAGUAGGGAAUCUUCCGCAAUGGGCGAAAGCCUGACGGAGCAACGCCGCGUGCGUGGUGAAGGUCUUCGGAUCGUAAAACUCUGUUAUUAGGGAAGAACAAAUGUGUAAGUAACUAUGCACGUCUUGACGGUACCUAAUCAGAAAGCCACGGCUAACUACGUG
rnacentral:rRNA from 1 species